AUUGAACGCUGGCGGCAGGCCUAACACAUGCAAGUCGAACGGUAACAGGAAGCAGCUUGCUGCUUUGCUGACGAGUGGCGGACGGGUGAGUAAUGUCUGGGAAACUGCCCGAUGGAGGGGGAUAACUACUGGAAACGGUAGCUAAUACCGCAUAACGUCGCAAGACCAAAGAGGGGGACCUUAGGGCCUCUUGCCAUCGGAUGUGCCCAGAUGGGAUUAGCUAGUAGGUGGGGUAACGGCUCACCUAGGCGACGAUCCCUAGCUGGUCUGAGAGGAUGACCAGCCACACUGGAACUGAGACACGGUCCAGACUCCUACGGGAGGCAGCAGUGGGGAAUAUUGCACAAUGGGCGCAAGCCUGAUGCAGCCAUGCCGCGUGUAUGAAGAAGGCCUUCGGGUUGUAAAGUACUUUCAGCGGGGAGGAAGGGAGUAAAGCUAAUACCUUUGCUCAUUGACGUUACCCGCAGAAGAAGCACCGGCUAACUCCGUG
rnacentral:rRNA from 1 species